UACGAAGGGGGCGAGCGUUGUUCGGAUUUACUGGGCGUAAAGGGCGCGUAGGCGGCCCUCCUAGUCGCGUGUGAAAGCCCCGGGCUCAACCUGGGAACGGCGCGCGAAACGGGGGGGCUGGAGUUCGGGAGAGGAAGGUGGAAUGCUUGGUGUAGAGGUGAAAUUCGUAGAUAUCAAGCAGAACACCUGCGGCGAAGGCGGCCUUCUGGACGAUGACUGACGCUGAGACGCGAAAGCGUGGGGAGCAAACAGG
rnacentral:rRNA from 1 species